rnacentral:rRNA from 1 species
GCUAAGACCGCAUAGGUGUAGAGAUCGCAUGAACUCUAUAUGAAAAGUGCUACGGGACUGGUAGAUGAUGGACUUAUGGCGCAUUAGCUGGUUGGUAGGGUAACGGCCUACCAAGGCGACGAUGCGUAGCCGACCUGAGAGGGUGACCGGCCACACUGGGACUGAGACACGGCCCAGACUCCUACGGGAGGCAGCAGUAGGGAAUUUUCGGCAAUGGGGGAAACCCUGACCGAGCAACGCCGCGUGAAGGAAGAAGUAAUUCGUUAUGUAAACUUCUGUCAUAGAGGAAGAACGGUGGAUAUAGGGAAUGAUAUCCAAGUGACGGUACUCUAUAAGAAAGCCACGGCUAACUACGUGCCAGCAGCCGCGGUAAUACGUAGGUGGCGAGCGUUAUCCGGAAUUAUUGGGCGUAAAGAGGGAGCAGGCGGCACUAAGGGUCUGUGGUGAAAGAUCGAAGCUUAACUUCGGUAAGCCAUGGAAACCGUAGAGCUAGAGUGUGUGAGAGGAUCGUGGAAUUCCAUGUGUAGCGGUGAAAUGCGUAGAUAUAUGGAGGAACACCAGUGGCGAAGGCGACGAUCUGGCGCAUAACUGACGCUCAGUCCCGAAAGCGUGGGGAGCAAAUAGGAUUAGAUACCCUAGUAGUCCACGCCGUAAACGAUGAGUACUAAGUGUUGGGAGUCAAAUCUCAGUGCUGCAGUUAACGCAAUAAGUACUCCGCCUGAGUAGUACGUUCGCAAGAAUGAAACUCAAAGGAAUUGACGGGGGCCCGCACAAGCGGUGGAGCAUGUGGUUUAAUUCGAAGCAACGCGAAGAACCUUACCAGGUCUUGACAUCGAUCUAAAGGCUCCAGAGAUGGAGAGAUAGCUAUAGAGAAGACAGGUGGUGCAUGGUUGUCGUCAGCUCGUGUCGUGAGAUGUUGGGUUAAAUCCCGCAACGAGCGCAACCCCUGUUGCCAGUUGCCAGCAUUAAGUCGGGGACUCUGGCGAGACUGCCGGUGACAAGCCGGAGGAAGGCGGGGAUGACGUCAAAUCAUCAUGCCCCUUAUGACCUGGGCUACACACGUGCUACAAUGGACAGAGCAGAGGGAAGCGAAGCCGCGAGGUGGAGCGAAACCCAUAAAACUGUUCUCAGUUCGGACUGCAGUCUGCAACUCGACUGCACGAAGAUGGAAUCGCUAGUAAUCGCGAAUCAGCAUGUCGCGGUGAAUACGUUCUCGGGCCUUGUACACACCGCCCGUCACACCAUGAGAGUCGGUAACACCCGAAGCCGGUGGCCUAACCGCAAGGAAGGAGCUGUCUAAGGUGGGACUGAUGAUUGGGGUGAAGUCGGAACAAGGUA